CCUACGGGCGGCUGCAGUGGGGAAUAUUGGACAAUGGGGGCAACCCUGAUCCAGCCAUGCCGCGUGUGUGAAGAAGGCCCUCGGGUUGUAAAGCACUUUCAGUGAGGAAGAACGCCUGGUGGUUAAUACCCAUCAGGAAAGACAUCACUCACAGAAGAAGCACCGGCUAACUCCGUGCCAGCAGCCGCGGUAAUACGGAGGGUGCGAGCGUUAAUCGGAAUUACUGGGCGUAAAGCGCGCGUAGGUGGCUUGAUAAGCCGGUUGUGAAAGCCCCGGGCUCAACCUGGGAACGGCAUCCGGAACUGUCAAGCUAAAGUGCAGGAGAGGAAGGUAGAAUUCCCGGUGUAGCGGUGAAAUGCGUAGAGAUCGGGAGGAAUACCAGUGGCGAAGGCGGCCUUCUGGACUGACACUGACACUGAGGUGCGAAAGCGUGGGUAGCAAACAGGAUUAGAUACCCCGGUAGUC
rnacentral:rRNA from 1 species